rnacentral:rRNA from 1 species
AACGAACGCUGGCGGCAGGCUUAACACAUGCAAGUCGAACGCACCGCAAGGUGAGUGGCAGACGGGUGAGUAACGCGUGGGAACCUACCCCUUGGUACGGGAUAGCUCCGGGAAACUGGAGAUAAUACCGUAUGUGACCUGAGGGUCAAAGAUUCAUCGCCAAGGGAUGGGCCCGCGUCGGAUUAGCUAGUUGGUGGGGUAACGGCCUACCAAGGCGACGAUCCGUAGCUGGUCUAAGAGGAUGAUCAGCCACAUUGGGACUGAGACACGGCCCAAACUCCUACGGGAGGCAGCAGUGGGGAAUAUUGGACAAUGGGCGCAAGCCUGAUCCAGCCAUGCCGCGUGAGUGAUGAAGGCCCUAGGGUUGUAAAGCUCUUUCACCGGGGACGAUAAUGACGGUACCCGGAGAAGAAGCCCCGGCUAACUUCGUGCCAGCAGCCGCCGUAA